UACGGAAGGCAGCAGUGGGGAAUAUUGCACAAUGGGCGAAAGCCUGAUGCAGCUAUGCCGCGUGUAUGAAGAAGGCCUUAGGGUUGUAAAGUACUUUCAUCGGGGAGGAAAAAACAAAACUAAUAAUUUUAUUUCUUGACGUUACCCGAAAAAGAAGCACCGGCUAGCUCCGUGCCAGCAGCCGCGGUAAUACGGAGGGUGGCUAGCGUUAAUCAGAAAUUAACUGGGCGUAAAGAGCACGUAGGUGGGUUUUUUUAAAGUUCAGAUGUGAAAUCCCUGGGCUUAACCUAAGGAACUGCAUUUUGAAACUAGAAAUAACUAGAGUAAUCGUAGAGGGAGGUAGAAUUCUAGGUGUAGCGGUGAAAUGCGUAGAUAUCUGGAGGAAUACCUGUGGCGAAAGCGGCCUCCUAAACGAAAUACUGACACUGAGGGUGCGAAAAGCGUGGGGAGCAAAACAGGAUUAGAUACC
rnacentral:rRNA from 1 species